rnacentral:rRNA from 1 species
CGGGGUGAGUAAUGUCUGGGAAACUGCCUGAUGGAGGGGGAUAACUGCUGGAAACGGUAGCUAAUACCGCAUAACGUCGCAAGACCAAAGAGGGGGACCUUCGGGCCUCUUGCCAUCGGAUGUGCCCAGAUGGGAUUAGCUAGUAGGUGGGGUAACGGCUCACCUAGGCGACGAUCCCUAGCUGGUCUGAGAGGAUGGCCAGCCACACUGGACUGAGACACGGUCCAG